rnacentral:lncRNA from 10 species
GGUCUGUGGGUGGGUCUUGUUCAGCCCCAACAAAUGAAAGAAGAUUAAUUAACAGAAGCAGCUGCAGCUGGGCCUGGAGGCAGUGGCUCUACAGCAGCAGUGAGAGCCGAGCUGUGGCAGACACAUGCUCUUCCCCUGACUCACGGCUGCCCAGUUCCCUCCAGCGAGGCUGCUGACCUAUUUUUCUAUUAGGAACAACCAGCCAAUGUGAUAAUGAGGAAAAUGUAUUCUGGCCCCUAUGAAGUUUAGUGAAGCCCGAAUGAAGUGGAGGAGGCCACGGAGAUGCACGAGGAAGAGCAUUCCAGGCAGAGGGAACAGCGAGGACAAAAGCCCCCGGGCAGGAAUGGGUGUGCAAGCCUGAGAUCCAACAUGGCGGAGAGCAAGCCGGAAGUGCUGCGCGGGGAUCCUAAGGGAGCACUGAACAGGACAAGCUCAGUUUUGUCCCUCAAACCUCCACAAUCAGCUAUUUUACAUAAGGAAAGUGGGUGGUGAUUAACCUCAGAGUCUCCAGGGACAGACUAUCCAGGACUGUGCCUGAAAUAGAAGAGGAAUUAACAUCAUACAGAACUGAAUACGGUGACUGAGGGGAGUUUGUGUCUCCCCUUUUAGGAAAGAAGAUGAGAAUAAGUAUGAAGGAGAGUCAUGUACUGUACAUUAAGCAAAAGCAUGAUGCUGUUAUUUGAAAUGUUAAUUAGAGGUGCCCACUAAAAACUGCUCAGCAAUUUUCUUGGAGACCUCAGUGCUCAUGUUAUUCUUUCCUCUAUCUUAUGUUUUCCUCUCUCCUGCCCUUUUCAGAAACAGUCUACAGCAGAAGCCAUUGACCCUGUUCAAAUUACAGAAGAGCCCUUUUUGAAUUUAUGAAAAUCCUGAAAUAUUAAAAUUUAUUAUUUUAAUAUUAAUAUAUUAAAUUAAUAUAUUAAUCUACCCGCCUCGGCCUCCCAAAGUGCUGGUAUUACGGGCAUGAGCCACCGAACCCAGCCUCAUGUUAUGACUUUCCAACCAUAAUUUAGUGUUAACAAAGUAAUCACAAAAGUAAUAUAUUAGUUUGAAAUUAGUAAUGCCCACCAGAUUCAAUCACUAAAAAAUGUGAUAUCAUUAAAAACCAUUUUUCUACAUGUUAACAAGAGCCAACUUCUGUCCCAAGCAGGUUGAAUUAUCACAAUUUCCUGAUAAGCAGAGUCCAGCUUCCUAAUUCAAACUCUCAAACUCAUUGUUAAAUAAGCCCAGAGGAGUUGGACAUUUUCCAUCACGCAUGUGGGAAGAAAGAAGGCCAACGAUGCUCUUCAGAUUUAACAAGUAAACCUUAAAAGUAUCUGUUAAGAAUACAGAGAUGCCCAUGACAACACUAUCACCAGAGCAACAACUAUCAACUAAGUCCUAGAGACAGAGCCUGAUUGGCCCAGCCACGACC